ACGGCCUCGGUUGUAACCCUUCAGGAGGGACGAAGUUUCACCGGUGAAUAGCCGUGUGGAUUGACGGUACCUCCAGAAGAAGCUACGGCUAACUACGUGC
rnacentral:rRNA from 1 species